AAUUAGGGAUCAACUCAUCAAAAAGGACCUUGGGGGGGGAAAUUUGGGGGGUCUCACUCUGGAUUUUGGGGUUUUUGGGGUUGUCAAUCAAAAUUUUGGGGUCGUUUUUUAGGAUUUUGGGGCUCGAAGUGGGCGGGGCCCCGAGGAAUUCACCGGGAUUGGGAUUUGGGGUUUGGAUUUGGGGAUUUUGGGGUCAAUUGUUGGGAUUUUGGGGUCGGUUAUUGGGAUUUUGGGAUUUUGGGGUCAAUUGUUGGGAUUUUGGGGUCAUUUAUUGGGAUUUUGGGGUUUUUGGGGUCAGCUAUUGAGAUUUUGGUGUUUUUGGGGACGUUGAUGCAGAUUUUGGGGUCAUUUAUUGGGAUUUCGGGGUCGGUUAUUGAGAUUUUGGGGUCAUUUAUUGGGAUUUUGGGGUCUGUACAGGGAUUUUGGGGUCAGUUCUUGGGAUUUUGGGGUCAGUUCUUGGGAUUUUGGGGUCUGUACAGGGAUUUUGGGGUCAGUUCUUGGGAUUUUGGGGUUUUUGGGGUCGGUUAUUGAGAUUUUGGGGUCAUUUAUUGGGAUUUUGGGGUCAGUUCUUGGGAUUUUGGGGUUUUUGGGGUCAGUUAUUGAGAUUUCGGGGUCAUUUAUUGGGAUUUUGGGGUCGGUUAUUGAGAUUUUCGUGUUUUUGGGGACGUUGAUGCAGAUUUUGGGGUCGGUUAUUGGGAUUUUGGGGUCAAUUGUUGGGAUUUUGGGGUCAUUUAUUGGGAUUUUGGGGUCAGUUGUUGG
rnacentral:lncRNA from 1 species